GUACUGAUGAAGAGUCACAAACCAGGACGAAACGGCUGUCCAGUAC
rfam:Trichobilharzia regenti genome assembly, scaffold: TRE_scaffold0019887